AGCGAACGCUGGCGGCGUGCCUAACACAUGCAAGUCGAACGUGAAAGGGAGCACUCCCAAGUAAAGUGGCGUACGGGUGAGUAACACGUAGGUAAUCUACCCCAGAAUCUGGAAUAACCGGCCGAAAGGCUGGCUAAUACUGGAUAGAGCGACGGAAUCCGUAAUUGGGUUUUUCGGGAAAGGGAGCCUGUAAAACGGCCUUCGUUCUGGGAUGAGCCUGCGUCCCAUCAGCUAGUUGGUGAGGUAAAAGCUUACCAAGGCAAUGACGGGUAGCUGGUCUGAGAGGACGAUCAGCCACACUGGAACUGAAACACGGUCCAGACUCCUACGGGAGGCAGCAGUGGGGAAUCUUGCGCAAUGGACGAAAGUCUGACGCAGCAACGCCGCGUGAGGGAAGAAGGCCUUCGGGUUGUAAAGCUCUGUCGAGUGGGACGAAAAUGCUUGGAGUUCACAGCUCCAGGAACUGACGGUACCACUAAAGGAAGCACCGGCUAACUCCGUG
rnacentral:rRNA from 1 species